rnacentral:rRNA from 1 species
UACAGAGGUCCCAAGCGUUGUUCGGAUUCAUUGGGCGUAAAGGGUGCGUAGGCGGCGCGGUAAGUCGGGUGUGAAAUCUCGGGGCUUAACUCCGAAACUGCAUUCGAUACUGCCGUGCUUGAGGACUGGAGAGGAGACUGGAAUUUACGGUGUAGCGGUGAAAUGCGUAGAUAUCGGGAGGAACACCGGUGGCGAAGGCGGCAUCCUGGACCAAUUCUGACGCUGAGUGAGCGAAAGCCAGGGGAGCAAACGGG